UACGGAGGGUGCGAGCGUUGUUCGGAAUCACUGGGCGUAAAGCGCGUGUAGGCGGCCCACUAAGUCUGAUGUGAAAGCCCGGGGCUCACCCCCGGAAGUGCAUUGGAAACUGGUGGACUCGAGUCCCGGAGAGGAGAGUGGAAUUCCUGGUGUAGCGGUGAAAUGCGUAGAUAUCAGGAGGAACACCGGUGACGAAGGCGGCUCUCUGGACGGUGACUGACGCUGAGACGCGAAAGCGUGGGGAGCAAACAGG
rnacentral:rRNA from 1 species